GGCAUCCCGACCGCGGGGACUGCGGCCCUAAGCUAAAACUAUUUACUCUUCUGGGUUUCCGAGCCGUGUGCGCUGCCAACGCCCGAGCGACCCCGGAGGCCGUGGCGACAGUGCGGCCUGACACCGUUCCUCGCUGCGGGACAAAAGCAGGAAGUAACAGUUCCGGUCACCCGGAGUCCCCUUGCCGUCCCCCGACGGGCCUGGUGGGAUAUCACUGGGUUGGGAGUCGCUGUGGCUCGACCGCUUGCUCAGCCUUAGAGAGGACAGAGCCGGGCGUGCCUCGGGCUCCGUGUGUGCUAUAAUUCUCGCUUGCCAGGAACAGCAGGCUCAGGGCAGGGACACACUGACCCAGCGUGGAAUGCCUCGGCCUUCCUCUGAUCCUGGGAAAGGACUUGCCAUGGGAGAAUGCAGCCUCUUGCCAUUUUCUUCUAGCACAGAAGAAAAUGCCCAUUCCCACCAAAGGGGCUGCUGUGGGUUCAUCUAAGCCCAUCUCGGAGAGUGAGGAAAGGAGAAGGGUAGAGAGAUAGAAACAUCAAUGAGAGAGAAACAUCAUCCUGCACACACCCCUACUAAGGAUCAAGCCCACAACUGGGGCAUGUGCCCUGACUGAGAAUCGAACCAGCGACCUCUUGGUUUCUGAGUCAACGCUCAUCGGCUGAGCCACAGCAGAAAGAGGAAGGGAGAGGAAGAGGACAGAAACACUGAUGAUAAAGAAUCAUCGAUUGGCUGCCGCCUGCACAUCACUACCAGGGAUUGAGCCCACACCCAGGCAUAUUCCCUGACCAGGAAUUGAAUCAGCAACCUGUUGGUACAUGGGACGGUGCUCAACCCACUGAGCCAGGCAGGUUGAUAUAUUCUUUAGAGCAAAUGCUCAUGGACUUUACAGAGUAACUUUGCCGAACUUCAUGACAAAGAAAAACAAGAAUAAAUAUGAAACCCCAAAUUUAUCAUAAUAAA